rnacentral:rRNA from 1 species
GAUGAACGCUGGCGGCGUGCCUAAUACAUGAAAGUCGAGCGAACAGACGAGGAGCUUGCUCCUCUGACGUUAGCGGCGGACGGGUGAGUAACACGUGGAUAACCUACCUAUAAGACUGGGAUAACUUCGGGAAACCGGAGCUAAUACCGGAUAAUAUAUUGAACCGCAUGGUUCAAUAGUGAAAGACGGUUUUGCUGUCACUUAUAGAUGGAUCCGCGCCGCAUUAGCUAGUUGGUAAGGUAACGGCUUACCAAGGCGACGAUGCGUAGCCGACCUGAGAGGGUGAUCGGCCACACUGGACCUGAGACACGGUCCAGCCUCCUACGGGAGGCAGCAGUAGGGAAUCUUCCGCAAUGGGCGAAAGCCUGACGGAGCAACGCCGCGUGAGUGAUGAAGGUCUUCGGAUCGUAAAACUCUGUUAUUAGGGAAGAACAAAUGUGUAAGUAACUAUGCACGUCUUGACGGUACCUAAUCAGAAAGCCACGGCUAACUACGU